CCUACGGGAUGCAGCAGUGGGGAAUAUUGCCCAAUGGGGGAAACCCUACUGCAGCGCCGCCCCUUGGGUGAAGAAUUAAUUAGUUAUGUAAAGCGCUAUCAGCAGGAAAUAAAAUGACGGUACCUGCGUAAGAAUCCCCGGCUAACGACGUGCCAGCAGCCGCGGUAAUUCGUAGGGGGCAAGCGGUGUCCGGAUUUACUUGGUGUAACGGUAGCGUAGGCGGCAUUGCAAGUCUGGAGGGAAAUGCGGGGGCUACACCCCCGGACUGCGCUGGACACUGUACGGCUGGAGUGCAGGAGAGGUAAGUGGAAUUACUAGUGUAGCGGUGAAAUGCGUAGAUAUUAGGAGGAACACCAGUGGCGAAGGCGGCUUACUGGACAGUAACUGACGUUGAGGCUCGAAAGCGUGGGGAGCAAACAGGAUUAGAUACCCGGGUAGUC
rnacentral:rRNA from 1 species